rnacentral:lncRNA from 1 species
GUUGUCAGAAUCAUUGAAAAAAAAGUGAGUAAAGAUAUGGCACAUAGAAAAAGAAAUGCCAAAAGUAUACUCGCUGAAAACUCAACCAAACAACUGUUCUGGAAAUCAACUUCCACGGAACUUCUAAUGAGGUAAAUGGAUUGGAAACGGAUGAUGGAACUGCACAGAAAACUACAGAAAAGCUUGCAUAUUUGUGCAACUUAAACCACCCUUUGGAUGGAUGAAGUUUAUCUUGUUAACCUUUUAUGCAAAGUAAUUUGCCAUUUGCCAUAUUUGCUAUUUGCUUUAAGAAACCCGAGAGCUGUUUGUUUAAACAUUUUCAAACGAAAAUGUUGAAGUUUUUUUGUGGAAUUUUGUUUGCCGGAAUGCUCAUGUGUGAGACCUCUACUAAUGAAUCAUGUCCAUGAAUAAAGCCUCAAGCGGA